rnacentral:rRNA from 1 species
GACGAACGCUGGCGGCGUGCUUAACGCAUGCAAGUCGAACGGAAAGGCACUGCUUUUGUGGGGUGCUCGAGUGGCGAACGGGUGCGUAACACGUGAGUAACCUGCCCUUGACUUUGGGAUAACUUCAGGAAACUGGGGCUAAUACCGGAUAGGAGCUCCUGCUGCAUGGUGGGGGUUGGAAAGUUUCGGCGGUUGGGGAUGGACUCGCGGCUUAUCAGCUUGUUGGUGGGGUAGUGGCUUACCAAGGCUUUGACGGGUAGCCGGCCUGAGAGGGUGACCGGCCACAUGGGGACUGAGAUACGGACCAGACUCCUACGGGAGGCAGCAGUGGGGAAUAUUGCACAAUGGGCGGAAGCCUGAUGCAGAAACGCUGCGUGCGGGAUGACGGCCUUCGGGUUGUAAACCGCUUUCGCCUGUGACGAAGCGUGAGUGACGGUAAUGGGUAAAGAAGCACCGGCUAACUACGUG